GACGAACGCUGGCGGCGUGCCUAAAACAUGCAAGUCGAACGGCUUGAGCAAUCGGGCAGUGGCGAACGGCGGAGUAAUACAUAAGCAACGUGCCCCGAAGACUGGGAUAGCCAGCCGAAAGGCUGAGUAAUACCGGAUGUGGCCCUCUUUUGGCAUCUUAAGAGGAUUAAAUAGUUUUUUGUCUUCGGGAGCGGCUUAUGGCCUAUCAGGUAGUUGGUGAGGUAACGGCUCACCAAGCCUACGACGGGUAGCGGGUCUGAGAGGACGAUCCGCUCGAGUGGGACUGAGACACGGCCCACACACCUACGGGUGGCAGCAGUUGGGAAUCUUGCACAAUGGGGGAAACCCUGAUGCAGCGACGCCGCGUGGAGGAUGAAGGAUCUA
rnacentral:rRNA from 1 species